UCGAGCGGAGAAUGUGGAGCUUGCUCCACAUUCUUAGCGGCGGACGGGUGAGUAACACGUGGGCAACCUGCCCUGCAGAUCGGGAUAACUCCGGGAAACCGGUGCUAAUACCGAAUAGUUUGGGGCCUCUCCUGAGGCCCCACGGAAAGACGGUUUCGGCUGUCACUGCAGGAUGGGCCCGCGGCGCAUUAGCUAGUUGGUGGGGUAAUGGCCCACCAAGGCGACGAUGCGUAGCCGACCUGAGAGGGUGAUCGGCCACACUGGGACUGAGACACGGCCCA
rnacentral:rRNA from 1 species